rnacentral:rRNA from 1 species
GACAGAGGGUGCAAACGUUGCUCGGAAUCACUGGGCGUAAAGGGCGUGUAGGCGGGAAGGAAAGUCAGAUGUGAAAUCCCUGGGCUCAACCCAGGAACUGCAUUUGAAACUCCCCUUCUUGAGUGUCGGAGAGGAAAGUGGAAUUCCUGGUGUAGAGGUGAAAUUCGUAGAUAUCAGGAGGAACACCGGUGGCGAAGGCGGCUUUCUGGACGACAACUGACGCUGAGACGCGAAAGCGUGGGGAGCAAACAGG